rnacentral:rRNA from 1 species
CUACGGGUCGCUGCAGUGGGGAAUAUUGCACAAUGGGGGAAACCCUGAUGCAGCGACGCCGCGUGAAGGAUGAAGGUCUUCGGAUCGUAAACUUCUAUCAGCAGGGAAGAAACAAAUGACGGUACCUGACUAAGAAGCUCCGGCUAACUACGUACCAGCAGCCGCGGUAAUACGUAGGGAGCGAGCGUUAUCCGGAUUUACUGGGUGUAAAGGGUGCGUAGGCGGCCUGGUAAGUUAGAAGUGAAAUUUUGGGGCUCAACCCCAGAGCUGCUUCUAAAACUGCUGGGCUAGAGUGCAGGAGAGGAAAGCGGAACUCCACGUGUAGCGGUGAAAUGCGUAGAGAUGUGGAGGAACACCAGUAGCGAAGGCGGCUUUCUGGACUGUAACUGACGCUGAGGCACGAAAGCGUGGGGAGCAAACAGGAUUAGAUACCCCAGUAGUC